UGAAUUUCCAGGCAAUGAACCUCCCGCUGAGAAACAUACUUGCAACUGUGCUUUCUGAAAAAACCCAAGUUCUGGUGCAGCCUCCAACCUCCUGAGCAGGAUGGAAACAGGGAGAGAAAGCCAGCUUCCAAGGUGGCCUUGACCUGUGGAGGUUGUACAGUAGUGGGGUCGGAGUAGUUCCCGGAUCGGUCCACCCGUUAGAGUUUCAUUUGCAGUAUGGUAACGCCAAGCAAGAAGCUUUGUGAUCUCUAAAGCGCUACACACAUUAUUUAUUCUGAUUGUUAAAUCUAGAUGGAGGGGACCCUACUAGGAGGCUGGCUGUGGGCAUACACUGCCCUGACCACCAAAGGCUUACAGGGGAUUCAUGACUUCCGAAGUGUGCCUGGGGGAACCUGGCACGAAGCUCUAGGCAUGGACCCUCCCGUCAAUCAAAGCCGCCCGUACUUUUUAAAUCUUUUGUAUAUUUCACCUUCCAGGAAGAUUUCCUUUGAUCCACUGAGGGAGGAUCGGGGGAGGAACACCCAGCCAGAGGGUCUAUCUGUAUUUCUAGUCCCAACAUUCUAUUUGUUUAAGUCCUUCCCAUCAAGACUACUUUCUAGUCUCAGGUGAACAUAACCAGACUGUAUUCGCCUCCAUGGUAGUGUGAGGGACACCUUCUUACUCAAAUCCGUGUCACCCUUGUGGAACGUUCCCUUGCCUGGCGCACUUGCCAAUUAGUUAGAAACUGUAAACGACUUAAAUGACUAUCACCAGGCGACUGGCUGAAUAAAUUUUGGUGAAUCUAUUC
rnacentral:lncRNA from 1 species